UUCAGUCUGCACUUCUGUUUAAUGAUGGCUUUAUAGCAUCUCUCCCUCAUGAUCACCUACCUGAAGGCUGUAAACACUUUUACAUUGUCCAAAUUCAUGUGACAUUUUGUAGCCAUUUUUCACUCCAGUUCAGCUAUUUCCAUUAAUUCUUAAGGAUGUAAAUUCACCAGCAAGUUAUGAUAAGUCCAUUCAUACAAUAACACUGACAGCAUAUGUAGUAAGCUCAUAAGCAUGGUAAUCCACUCUUAUUAUAUCUGUAAAUGUAAUGUGGUAAAGUGCUUAUUAAAUAUCCCAUGCCCAGAACAUGGUGGUGCCAAACAAAGAUAAUAGUAAAUAUGAAAAUCAACCUUUUCUAGAAACCUCACCGUAGGUUGUGGAUGGUUUUCAGUAACUGCAUCAAGUUUUACAAAUGCAAUACAAUUUUCCCAACGAAUAAAGGCGUUUUUAGCAGCCAAUUUAUGGCAAAAUUGGAAAUUGGCUUUGAAUUGGGUACUUUGCCUUUCUUUGGGGAUCAAAAACAUUAAUGACAUGAUAUGUGAAAGACUUUGAACCUAUGUAUCUAUGUAGAAACAUAGAAACAUAGAAUGUGACGGCAGAUAAGAACCAUUCGGCCCAUCUAGUCUGCUCAAUUUUCUAAAUACUUUCAUUAGUCCAUAGCCUUAUCUUAUAGUUAGGAUAGCCUUAUGCCUAUCCCACGCAUGCUUAAACUCCUUUACUGUGUCAACCUCUACCACUUCAGCUGGAAGGCUAUCCCAUGCAUCCACUACCCUCUCAGUAAAGUAAUACUUCCUGAUAUUAUUUUUAAACCUUUGUCCCUCUAAUUUAAGACUAUGUGCUCUUGUUGUGGUAGUUUUUCUUCUUUUAAAUAUAGUCUCCUCCUUUACUGUGUUGAUUCCCUUUAUAUAUUUAAAUGUUUCUAUCAUAUCCCCCCUGUCUCGUCUUUCCUCCAAGCUAUACAUGUUAAGAUCCUUUAACCUUUCCUGGUAAGUUUUAUCCCGC